UGCCUUCGGGAACCGUGAGACAGGUGCUGCAUGGCUGUCGUCAGCUCGUGUUGUGAAAUGUUGGGUUAAGUCCCGCAACGAGCGCAACCCUUAUCCUUUGUUGCCAGCGAUUCGGUCGGGAACUCAAAGGAGACUGCCGGUGAUAAACCGGAGGAAGGUGGGGAUGACGUCAAGUCAUCAUGGCCCUUACGAGUAGGGCUACACACGUGCUACAAUGGCGCAUACAAAGAGAAGCGACCUCGCGAGAGCAAGCGGACCUCACAAAGUGCGUCGUAGUCCGGAUCGGAGUCUGCAACUCGACUCCGUGAAGUCGGAAUCGCUAGUAAUCGUGGAUCAGAAUGCCACGGUGAAUACGUUCCCGGGCCUUG
rnacentral:rRNA from 1 species